GAUAGAACAGAGAAAUGUCUGUAAGAUAAAAAUCUCAAGAGGUGGUGACUGAUUGGGUUUGGGCAGUGGGGAAUGAGGAAGAACAGGACUAUGGACGAUACCUAUGCUUCCGGCCUGGGUGCCUGGAUGCAACAUGGAGGUCGUAGAAAAGACUGGGAUUAUGGGGUCAGGUGGAACAGGACCAGAGACAAUCGAGGGCUUUCCUUUCAGACACACUGAGUUUAAAGUGGUUGUGAGACAUGCAAGGGAUGUCUGGGUGGAAAACAUUCAGCUAGUCACUAACAUAUCUUACCAAGAAACGGUCUCCACCAGCAUCUCCACUUUUUCUUCACUUUCUUGAAAUCUGAACUUUUGUUGUUGUUGUUCACAGGCUUAAUCUUCAGCCUCUACACUCCAGAGAUUAAAAAAAGAGAAGGUCCUGCAGAACCACCUGACUUCCAGUCCUGCUCGCGAGUCUGUAUCAGUUGCCUAUUCCAAUCAAGUGACGUACAAAUGACAUACAAUAAUUUAACAGAAUCAAGAAGAAUUGGGGCCUCCCCUGUCCUUUGCGACUCAAACAAGCACAUUAGUCCAUUUUAUAGGAGCAUUUCUAGGAGAGCAGCUUUUAGGAGGGGUGUUUGUGAACAGUAUUGCUAACAACCCAGGCAGGUGGGCUCGCUGACUGCAUGCAUUUCCCUGGAGUUUAAAGUUUCUGGGACCAACAACUGUUAUCUAUGGAAACUUUCCUACUUUCUUUUUGUUCUUAUGUUACCUAAUGUUUGUAUUUAUUGUUUUCCACUAUGUUAUUCCAGGAAAAAUUUGCAAGUGUAUUAUUAAAUAUUAAGUAGAAAUCAUACCAUGCCACUUUGUACAUACAGAUAUUUUAUUCAUAUUUUCUUGUGUUACUUUUAAUAAAUAAUUACUGUACUCAAUACACUAAAAUAUCAUAACAUGACUGUAAAAAUAGCCAUGGUAUUGUCUUUCUUUAAUUAUGGAUAUUUUUGGAUUGAUUAUUAGAAUAUGAGUAUUCACUGAUGAAAGGCAUCUGUAAUAAAUGAGAAAGGGACAAAGGAUCCUCGUAUCAGACCCUGUUAGGGGGAUAGAAAUUUGCCAUUUCUUUGGUCUUUCUGUUUGUAAUUCACACUAUGUAACAAGGAGGUAAGGGCAUUUAUGACACUCUGUACUGCAUUCAUUAAGAUAAUAGGAUCAAGAUUUUUCAUUAAUCCAUUUGGUUGA